rnacentral:rRNA from 1 species
UACGGAGGGGGCUAGCGUUGUUCGGAAUUACUGGGCGUAAAGCGCACGUAGGCGGCUAUUUAAGUCAGAGGUGAAAGCCUGGAGCUCAACUCCAGAACUGCCUUUGAGACUGGAUAGCUAGAAUCUUGGAGAGGCGGGUGGAAUUCCGAGUGUAGAGGUGAAAUUCGUAGAUAUUGGGAAGAACACCGGUGGCGAAGGCGGCUCACUGGCUCGUAACUGACGCUCAGGCGCGACAGCGUGGGGAUCAAACAGG